AGGUGAUUUGACAUCUACCAAACAAAUCGAUUCAACACCAAAAAAUCAGUUUAAGAACACGCCGCUAGAUUCAUAAACUAACAAACGAAACAGCUAUGUAUUUGUGUUUUACGGGUGUUGACGGGUAGAAUUUCAUCUCUGGAGUCUUUCUCAGCAUCAGUAUUGUGUAGCGUCUUAGAAAAAGCAAGAAGCAUAAACCUGAGCUUCGGGAGCGUAGAAUUUCAAAGAAACCCAAAAAUGCUUCUGGAACUUUCGCCUAGUAGGAAACUGAUUCUCAAGGUGAGCGGAAACAUUUCAGCUUUGGAAAAGGGUAGCGGUUCAUCUGGCUACGUAAUACAUCCGGAUGUGGUAUUUUCUUCGCGAGUGGCUAUUCCGGGGAGCGUAAAAAUACUAGAAGCGCAGAAAAAAGAACACCAAACCGACAUCGGAAAGCCGAUUUCAUGCAGCACAAUUCCGAUACUGUCAGAAAUGGAAACAGUAUAAGAAACCUAUUCAUUUCAUUCAUCCGGCUACACCAGCAAAGCCAGCCAUUCCUUUAACCACAUUCGGAGCAAAGAAGGAAAUCAUGGUAGAAAGAUAGGUUAUCAUCGAUGGACCCCAUCCCGGCUUAGUUCUGCUACAAUUCCACCUUUCAACCGGUUAAUAAUAUGGACAAUAGUUGCUUAAACAGUGUGCAAAGAUAAAAAUGAGAAUUUAUGAAAAUGUGUAUGUAUUUCUUGAAAUCAUUGAUAAUUUUUUUUUAUAUUUUUACAUUAAAUGUCAUACUAACACCUUCAUUUCCUCCAUAGAAAGUUUUUCGAUCAAAUGAAUAGUUUUUAAAAUACACACGAUUGUAAUUGCCCGAAUUCUAGAUGACCAUAGCCUUAAUACGUACACUUUUAAUAAUAAAAAAAACUGAUCA